rnacentral:rRNA from 1 species
UACGUAGGGGGCAAGCGUUGUCCGGAAUCAUUGGGCGUAAAGAGCGUGUAGGCGGUUCAGUAAGUCCGCUGUGAAAGUCAAGGGCUCAACCCUUGAAUGCCGGUGGAUACUGUUGAACUAGAGUCCGGAAGAGGCGAGUGGAAUUCCUGGUGUAGCGGUGAAAUGCGCAGAUAUCAGGAGGAACACCGAUGGCGAAGGCAGCUCGCUGGGACGGUACUGACGCUGAGGCGCGAAAGCGUGGGGAGCAAACAGG